rnacentral:SRP_RNA from 1 species
CCGUGCUACGUGGGGCGUUAGCGGUGCCCUGUCACCUGCCAUCCGCUUCAGCAGGGCGGAAUUCCUUUCCGAGGGGCGUCGGCAGGCAUUGUGUUCGCCGCCACCGGGCGUUGACGGCUGGACCCCAUGCGAUGGGCGUCUGGUGAACCUGGUCAGGGCGGAGACGCAGCAGCCAUAAGCCUGUGCGUCCAUGCGCCGUGGGACCUUCCGGCCUGAGCCGCGGAGCGUCGAUACGUGUCCGCUGCGUUUCGGAGAAAGGUGCACGG